GGGUUUCUUGCCGCCAGUCCAUAAAAGGAAAGAAAGGAAGGGAGGUGCUAGCCCUUUCCCCCCUUUGCAGCCGUCAGCCAUUUCUUCUCUCUCCCCUCUUGCAGAAACCCAAACACCAGGUCCAAGAUCUGAAAUCUCUUGAGAAGAGGUUGGUACAAGUUUCUCUCUGAUCUGGAGUUGAUCUGAGGUUGUUUGAGGCAUGGGUG
rnacentral:lncRNA from 1 species